ACAUAUUUUUAUCCAGAGAGUUAUUUGCUCUGAACAAGGAAGUGAGAAGAAAGGUGAGAGUCAACAACCUUCACACUUCACAAUCCAAACGAGAUUAAAAACCAUUCAGCAUGUGGAAAGAAAUUAGUUUUUGCAUAUAUACAGCUUGUCUGUUGAAUAUCAGCUUUGCUGCCAAACUCACAGAAGUGAUUGGAUAUAAAGGAACAAACAUUUCUUUCCAAAUCAGCUACUUGGCAAACUUUGAGAAACAUGACAAAUACUUUGGAAGGUCAGAUGGGUUCUUCUCCAAAAAACUGAUUCAGACUUCUCAAGCAAACAGAUGGGUCAGACACGGACGAUUCGCUCUGUUUGACAACACCGCUGCUCACAGGUUUACUGUUCUUAUUACUGGACUGAUGAUGGAAGACUCUGGAUUGUACUUAUGUGGUGCGGAUAUUAAACUACAGACUGAUCCUGUUUCUGAAAUACAAAUAACAGUAAGGAAAGGUGAAACCCAGAGACCCACAACACCACCAAGAGUGGUAAUCAGCAGUUUGCACAGUCCUACAAAUAUCACCACACAGAAUCAGGCUCCUAACAAAAAUCAGGAAUCAUACCUUAGGUUUGUGGCAAUACUGAGUUUGGUGUGUGUGUGCGCAGUUUUGUGUGGGUGUCUUUUCGCUGUAUUGGAAGUUUUGAAACGAGUCACCACCGGGAAGAUGUCAGCUUUAUUAUCUUAUCAUACUAGAAAGGUCUCAGACCAGGUUGUGGAUGAAUAUGUGGAAAUGAGCUCAAUCGUCUUACAAAAUUCACCCACAUCUCAUGGCGUUGAAUGUUUUGCUGUAAUUGAAUUGGACCGAUCCACAAACACAGAAGCAGCCCCUGACAUAGAUCCACAUUACAUAGAUGCUGCCACCGCACUAACCGAAAGUCUGGAUCUAGAUCAGAUCUACACAGAAAUGGAUGGCUAUGCUUUUUCAGAUUCAGUCUAUCAGAUAAUUGAUCAGACUUCUGACUGACCACUGAAUCUUUAUUAACAGCCAAUGCAAAUCGUUAUUUGACAUUUUACAUAAAUUUACUCAUCUAUCCAUAGCAUUUCGCAAUUUUGCCUUGAGAGCAAACAAUAAGCAUAGCACACAGAGAGAUUUGUUUACCAGUAAGAAUAGUACUGAACAACAAAAGGAGAUGAAAUAUUAUAAUCAUAAUGAAAACUUAUAGAGCAAACUUAAUUAUUCUAUACUAGAAAUAUUUACAAUGGCUUUAUGUAUCUGAAAAAAAUAUUCAUUGUAGUCCUGAAUAAAUUUAUUAAACUAAUUAAAGUACUUUUUGACUUUCUUGAUAUCCAUUUCAUAAACACAGGCAGUGAAUGUGAAAACUAUCAAUAUAGCAAACCAUGUGUGAAGAUUAAUGUUUAGUUCUCUAAUCCUUUAAGCAGGUGUGUGACCACCUCAGAGCCAUUUCUUAUAAUAACUAUUUCUAUUUUAGCAGUAUUCACACCUGCACACAUAGAUCAAGCAUGUGUAUGUGUGUGAGAGAGAGUUUAGUGUGGCUACAGAUCACAUUAUAUAAUGUAAUUGCUAAUGUAAGAGAAGAAUGAAGAGAAGAGAAGUGGAUACUUGAACAGAAGAUUCAGAAGUCAGUGUGUGCGCUGGAUUUCACACACUUUGAACCUUUUAUUAAAAGUCCUGCCAAAUGUUUUGACAUGUGGACAUUUUUAGCUGUCCUGUCCUGCAUCUUUACAGUCGGAUCUUUGAAUACCGUAACUGCUCCAGUGGGAAAAAAUGUCACCAUAUAUUGUUCGCAUUACCUGGCUUAUAACAACAUCAAAUAUUUCUGCCGGGAGACAUGUGCUGAAGAAAAUAUUCUCAUUACAUCUAAGAGAGAUACAAACCCCACUCACAGAGAAAGAUAUUCAUUGUAUGAUAAAGGAUCAGACUUUACAGUAACCAUCACUGACCUCUUAUCAGACACUGGCACUUACAUCUGUGCAGUAGACAGAUUAAUAAUAGACACUUACAGAUCUGUGAAUCUCCAUGUGUUUGAGGUGUCUACAUUAGCAUCUGUUUCGACAACUACAACCAGACAACCUACAAGAACUACUAGUAAAAAAACAGUGAUUAAGGAAACAUCUCAGGUUGAAGAGUCGAUUACAGUUACAGUUAAAUCAGUGACCACAAACAGAGCAGCGGUGUCUGAUCUUUGGGUUUAUGUAGGUUUUGGUCUUGGCACUUUUGUGUUGAUUUUUAUUGUUGUCCUCUUCGUAUUUAUUAAACACAAGUAUGAGCAGAAGAUGUCCUCCACCACCACAUCAUCAUCAUCAGCUCUUCAUCCUGAUCUUCCUUAGUUACGCCACAUUGAACUUUACUGCUCGAUCAGACAGUCUGAUCUACUCUACUGUUUUCUUUAUCAAAGAUCCUCUUAGGAACAAGUUUUCAGCAGACCCAAAUGAACGAGCCGCAACUCUUUAUUCAUCUGUUCAGUCAACUGAAAUCAUCCAAACCAAAUGAUCCACUUCACUGUGUUUAUAAAUUACAAUUUAAUUUAUAAUAUAAGUUCAUUUGUUUUAUUUUGU